rnacentral:lncRNA from 1 species
CUCCCACCCCAUGCGUCUCCCACCACGUGCAUCAGUUUGCAGCGGCGGUCGAAACCCUAGCGCGCAGGGCAGCGGUGGUGGUGGCGAGGGCGAGCGCGCGGCGCGGAGUCGGCGGCGAGGUCGCGCGCACGGCGCGGAGGUGGCGGCGAGGGCGCGCGCGGCGAGGAGUUGGCGGCCGCCGCGGGCGCGCCGUGCGCGAGGUGGCGGCGGCCGAGGGCGUGCUGGCGGCGACGGCUGCCGCGUCGAGGGCCAGCCGACGCCCGCUCCCCGAAGGUGUCGGCGGUCGCAGCUCUUCCACGCGGAGGCGGCUGCUCCCAGCGACGAGCUAUCCGGCUGGAGGGCGAGACGAGAAGUACAGAGCACAAGAGUCAAAACUCAAAAGACCAGGAGAGGCAUUUACCUAGGUAACUCUGCAAACUAA